AUGUAACUCAAUGAAGUAAUUAGAACACUCCCUCACACUAUGCACAAAGAUAAACUCUAAAUGGCUCAAAGACUUAGAUAUAAGACAAAACACCAUAAGCCUCCAGAAAGAAAACAUAGGCAAACAUUCUCUGACAUAAAUCUUAACAAUGUUCUCCUAGGUCAGUCUACCCAGCCAGUAGAAAUAAGAGCAAAAAUAAACAAAUGGAAUCUAAUUAAACUUAUAAGCUUUUGCACAGCAAAGGAAACUAUAAACAAAACAAAAAGACAACCUACAGAAUGGGAAAUAAUUAUUUACAAACGAUGUAACUGACCAGGGCUUAAUCUCCAGGAUAUACAAGCAGCUCAUACAACUUAA